rnacentral:rRNA from 1 species
UGAGGAAUAUUGGACAAUGGAUGGAAAUCUGAUCCAGCCAUGCCGCGUGCAGGAAGACGGUCCUAUGGAUUGUAAACUGCUUUAGCAUGGGAGCAAUAAGGUGUACGCGUACACCGAUGAGAGUACCAUGAGAAUAAGCACCGGCUAACUCCGUGCCAGCAGCCGCGGUAAUACGGAGGGUGCAAGCGUUAUCCGGAUUUAUUGGGUUUAAAGGGUGCGUAGGCUGUAAGUCAAGUCAGCGGUGAAAAGUCGGGGCUAAACCUUGAGGGUGCCGUUGAAACUGACAUACUAGAAUGUGGAUGAUG